rnacentral:rRNA from 1 species
UACAGAGGUCCCGAGCGUUGUUCGGAUUCACUGGGCGUAAAGGGUGCGUAGGUGGUGAGGUAAGUCGGAUGUGAAAUCUCCGGGCUCAACCCGGAAAUGGCAUUGGAAACUACCUUGCUGGAGGAUUUGAGGGGGAUUGGAAUACUUGGUGUAGCAGUGAAAUGCGUAGAUAUCAAGUGGAACACCAGUGGCGAAGGCGAAUCCCUGGAAAUACCUGACACUGAGGCACGAAAGCUAGGGAGCAAACAGG